rnacentral:tRNA from 1 species
GGAGAGGUGGCCGAGUCUGGUUGAAGGCGCUCCCCUGCUAAGGGAGUAUGGGCCCAAAAGCUCAUCGUGGGUUCGAAUCCCACCCUCUCCGCCA